rnacentral:rRNA from 1 species
CCUACGGUGUGCAGCAGUGAGGAAUAUUGGUCAAUGGGCGAGAGCCUGAACCAGCCAAGUCGCGUGAAGGAUGACGGCCCUACGGGUUGUAAACUUCUUUUGUCAGGGAGCAAUUGGGUCCACGCGUGGGCUUAGAGAGAGUACCUGAAGAAAAAGCAUAGGCUAACUCCGUGCCAGCAGCCGCGGUAAUACGGAGGAUGCGAGCGUUAUCCGGAUUUAUUGGGUUUAAAGGGAGCGUAGACGGUGCAGCAAGUCUGAUGUGAAAGGUCGGGGCCCAACCCCGGGACUGCAUUGGAAACUGUUGAACUGGAGUACAGGAGAGGUAAGCGGAAUUCCUAGUGUAGCGGUGAAAUGCGUAGAUAUUAGGAGGAACACCAGUGGCGAAGGUGGCUUACUGGACUGUAACUGACGUUGAGGCUCGAAAGCGUGGGGAGCAAACAGGAUUAGAUACCCUUGUAGUC